rnacentral:lncRNA from 1 species
AAGGCAGAACAUUGCAUUGGCAUCCAUGAUUGACGGAUUGAAAAAUAAAUCCAUACCAAGAACUUAAUGGUCUUCACGCAGAGACUGCUACAGGCAACGACAUCCUCUGUAAUAAAAAUACAAGCAGCGGCCAAUGCGACUUGACGACAGCCAUAAUGUUAAGACGAUGAUAUCAAGCGCCUCCCGACAGGAGGCAAGGCGCCCUUAGGCGCUCGGGCCGUCGAGCCACAGCACGGCGGCGCGGCUAUCGCGUCGCUCCUCCCUCCGGCGGAGCACGACCCAUGCGACACUCGCCCUCGCCCGCGUCGUGGCCGCUUGCGCCCGGCCGCCCCCAGGCCGUGGCCGCACUCGCCCGUGACGUGGCCACCUGC